UAGCUUUGAGAUAAAAACACGAUUCGGUUGGUAGUCCGAAUGGGGUAAUUAGCCCUCAGUAACCUGCCCUCCUGGGGUUGUCCAUUCUCUAAAUUUAGCUG
rfam:Clostridium botulinum A str. ATCC 3502 complete genome